rnacentral:rRNA from 1 species
UACGGGGGGGGCAAGCGUUGUUCGGAAUUACUGGGCGUAAAGGGCUCGUAGGCGGCCAACUAAGUCGGAUGUGAAAUCCCCAGGCUUAACCUGGGAACUGCAUCCGAUACUGGAUGGCUUGAAUCCGGGAGAGGGAUGCAGAAUUCCAGGUGUAGCGGUGAAAUGCGUAGAUAUCUGGAGGAACACCGGUGGCGAAGGCGGUUCUCUGGGCCUUACCUGACGCUGAGGAGCGAAAGCGUGGGGAGCGAACAGG